GGACGGGGUAGGUUGAUCCAUUGUUAAAGGCAUUUGCUCAACAAAUGUGUGCGAUGGAGAUCGCCUCCCUAGUAGUUAAUCAGGGGGUACUGGAAUUCAAUGUGUAGCGGUGGAAUGCGUAGAUAUAUUGAGGAACACCAGAGGCUAAGGCGAGUACCUGGGAUUUAACUGACGCUGAGGCUUGAAAGCGUGGGGAGCAAAUGGGAUUAGAUACCCCAGUAGUCCACACCGUAAACGAUA
rnacentral:rRNA from 1 species